GAUGAACGCUGGCGGCGUGCCUAAUACAUGCAAGUCGAGCGAACAGACGAGGAGCUUGCUCCUUUGACGUUAGCGGCGGACGGGUGAGUAACACGUGGGUAACCUACCUAUAAGACUGGGAUAACUUCGGGAAACCGGAGCUAAUACCGGAUAAUAUUUCGAACCGCAUGGUUCGAUAGUGAAAGAUGGCUUUGCUAUCACUUAUAGAUGGACCUGCGCCGUAUUAGCUAGUUGGUAAGGUAACGGCUUACCAAGGCAACGAUACGUAGCCGACCUGAGAGGGUGAUCGGCCACACUGGAACUGAGACACGGUCCAGACUCCUACGGGAGGCAGCAGUAGGGAAUCUUCCGCAAUGGGCGAAAGCCUGACGGAGCAACGCCGCGUGAGUGAUGAAGGUCUUCGGAUCGUAAAACUCUGUUAUUAGGGAAGAACAAACGUGUAAGUAACUGUGCACGUCGUGACGGUACCUAAUCAGAAAGCCACGGCUAACUACGUG
rnacentral:rRNA from 1 species